rnacentral:tRNA from 1 species
UGGAGUGUGGCUCAGUGGUACAGCACUUGCCUAGCAUGUGUGAGGCUCUGGGUUUGAUUCUCAGCACCACAU